AUUCUUUCAGCCCUUUCUCUCUGUCUACAUCCUCUUCAAAUCAAACUUGGAUCCAUCACUGUCUUCUCCAAACAAUUCAACAAACAGGUAACAAUUCUUCAGAUAAUGUCGCUAACUUCAUCUUCUUCAUCAAGAAAUUUUAGGAUUCUUCUUCGUGACACCAUCAAUGUGUGAACCGAAUUGGAAAAACAUGCUCCUUCUUCGUGACACCAUCCAUUUUAUUUGGAUAUCUAAUUAGGGUUUCUUGGUCUCAUCACAAACUCAAAAAAAAUUUCGAUCCCAUCUGCUUUCUCUCUCUUUCUCCCUGGUGAUUCAAAAAGACGAAGGUGAUUCAAGUCGAUUGGUGAAGAUUUCACCAUAUCAAUGAAGAAUCUAACCUCUCAGCGGGUUGGAAAGAGCAUACAUGGAAAAAAACUUAUCUCUGGUUCAACUGGUUUACCUGCUCAUAUGAAUGGCCAAAGGGUAGGAUAGUUAUUAAAAUCAGCAAUCAAAUUGAGAAUUGUUGAUAAAAUCUUCGCCACCUUCGAAGUUGAUCUCCAAUCAUUCUCUGGCUCUUUUGAUGCAACUUUUAUUUUUUGUUUCAUGAUCUGGUGGUGGUGCUUCGAGCAUCGGUGAUGGCAGUCUGGGAUAUACUGAGCAUACCGUCCUCAAAAUUUGAUACAUCAAUUUUGGAUCUUGCAGCUUAUUUCUCAUCAAUGGUUUUGGGGGUUCUGAAUCGUUGGCCGAAGCUCAAAAUUGGGAGAAAUAUGGGGUAAAUAUGUCCAAGGAGUUGACCUCUCUGGCCUCUUUAAAUGAAGUUCAGUUAUCUUGAAGAGGAACUUGAAGACCCAUCGCAUAUUAAAUCAAGUUGUUAAUGGCAGCUUCUGCUUGGGCUUGAUGCGAAUGCGGGGAAGUGACAACUUUACAGAGUUAUCAUGAGAGUUAUCAUGUUUGAGGUAAUAAUGAGGUGUUAAACGUUCCUCCAGUAGAGAUUAGCAAAGUUGAUACUAAUGUUGAUGUUUCUGAUAGACAAAUCCCCAUUUUGAGAAAAUUGAAGAAUCUGAUAUAUGUGAUUCUUCUGAAUCAAAUCUUGAAGUGACCAGGACAGAUAAGUUGGUCAAAGAUGGAGUUGUGGAACCCACACCUGAGCUAAGUCAUGCCCCCGUGUCAGAAGUUGUUAAACAAUCUGUAGUAGUUGAAGAAAUUAAGAUUGAAAAGUUUGAAUUGGAUGGUGAAGUUGCUCCUGAAGAUGUGAAAGGAUCUAAAACUGAUUAGGGGUUUUAGUGAAUAAAAUCAAGCAUGCAAAGUCUAAAUCUGAUCUUACAUAUGUUGAGAAGUUGAUCAAGAACCUAAAAUUGAUCAGAAUGUUUCAGUUCUAAAUAAAAAGAUGAAUCUUGGUUCUAUAAAGAAGUGAUUGGAAGAAUAUGGCUACUCAAAGUGAAGUUGGAGCAAAAGGUGCUACUACUAGACCGCCUCCGAAUCCGUACAUGUUACGGAUUGUUAAGUUUUUUGAGGAUGCAACUUUAGGAUCUGUGUAAGAGUGGUUUCUUGAAGCUCUCGAACUAUACUUAAUCACUAAUUUCAAUAGCGUUGGAUUUUGAAAUGCAUUAUCAUAAUCUAAGGAAUGAUGUGCUAUGAUAUAUGUUGCUUGAAGUCAAUUGCAAGGGAAUAUGGAUGAAUAUAGUAGGAGCUCAGGGAGACAAUCAUCACGGCCGGUUUUAAAAUCCGAAUUAUCCGGUAAAUCGACGCCCAGAGGUUCUCCAUCGUUUAGAAGAUUAAGCUCGAGUCGGACUCCUAGAAGAGAUGGGAGUAGCAAUGGAUUUAAUUCUCAUUGUUUCAGAAGCAACGGGAUAUUCUGUAGCCAUAGCCUUGGAGCUCUAGACGAUUCAUAUUCAAAAAUUGAGUCGAUAGGUUUUUGAAGUACACCAUUUCCAGGGUUUAUUUGAAAUUCUUUAUAUGUUGGGCGCAUUUAUGU
rnacentral:lncRNA from 1 species